rnacentral:rRNA from 1 species
AGAGUUUGAUCCUGGCUCAGGAUGAACGCUGGCGGUAUGCUUUAUACAUGCAAGUCGUACGAGAGUUUUUAACUCAAGUGGCGGACGGGUGAGUAACACGUAAGAAUUUGCCUUUAGGAGGGGGAUAACAACUGGAAACGGUUGCUAAUACCCCAUAUGCUUUUAAGUGAAAUGGAUUUUUCCGCCUAAAGAGAAGCUUGCGGCUGAUUAGCUUGUUGGUAAGGUAAUGGCUUACCAAGGCGACGAUCAGUAUCUGGUUUGAGAGGACGAUCAGACACACUGGAACUGAGACACGGUCCAGACUCCUACGGGAGGCAGCAGUAGGGAAUUUUCCGCAAUGGGCGAAAGCCUGACGGAGCAAUACCGCGUGAGGGAUGAAGGCCUAUGGGUUGUAAACCUCUUUUUUCAGGGAGGAACAAAAUGACGUGUACCUGAAGAAUAAGCAUCGGCUAACUCCGUGCCAGCAGCCGCGGUAAGACGGAGGAUGCAAGUGUUAUCCGGAAUCACUGGGCGUAAAGCGUCUGUAGGUGGUCAAAUAAGUCAACUGUUAAAUCUUGAGGCUCAACCUCAAAAUCGCAGUCGAAACUAUUCGACUAGAGUAUAGUAGGGGUAAAGGGAAUUUCCAGUGGAGCGGUGAAAUGCGUAGAGAUUGGAAAGAACACCGAUGGCGAAGGCACUUUACUGGGCUAUUACUAACACUCAGAGACGAAAGCUAGGGUAGCAAAUGGGAUUAGAUACCCCAGUAGUCCUAGCUGUAAACAAUGGAUACUAGAUGUUGAACAGAUCGACCUGUGCAGUAUUAAAGCUAACGCGUUAAGUAUCCCGCCUGGGAAGUAUGCUCGCAAGAGUGAAACUCAAGGAAUUGACGGGGCCCGCACAAGCGGUGGAGCAUGUGGUUUAUUUCGAUGCACGCGA